rnacentral:rRNA from 1 species
UGCCGGUGACAAACCGGAGGAAGGUGGGGAUGACGUCAAAUCAUCAUGCCCCUUAUGACCUGGGCUACACACGUGCUACAAUGGGAAGUACAACGAGUCGCUAGACCGCGAGGUCAUGCAAAUCUCUUAAAGCUUCUCUCAGUUCGGAUUGCAGGCUGCAACUCGCCUGCAUGAAGCCGGAAUCGCUAGUAAUCGCGGAUCAGCACGCCGCGGUGAAUACGUUCCCGGGCCUUGUACACACCGCCCGUCACACCACGAGAGUUUGUAACACCCGAAGUCGGUGAGGUAACCUUUUUGGAGCCAGCCGCCUAAGGUGGGAUAGAUGAUUGGGGUGAAGUCGUAACAAGGUAGCCGUAUCGGAAGGUGCGGCUGGAUCACCUCCUUUCUAAGGAA